CUGCAGAUUAUAAGCUUAGAUGGGUCUGCUUGAAGAAGCUUUGUUAUAUUCAUAAUCAGCAGUUCAUUUUAGUUGCUUGCAGUUUUUCGGGGAUUCUUUUGGCAGAGGAGUUGAAGGGUUAGAAGCAUUUAGGUGAAGAAAAUGCUUUCUUUGAGUUACUUCUAUUUCAACUUUCUGUGAAAUUCCUUUUUCUUUUGACUGAAAACGCUCUGACCUUCUAAUGCA